rnacentral:rRNA from 1 species
CCUACGGGAGGCUGCAGUGAGGAAUAUUGGUCAAUGGACGCAAGUCUGAACCAGCCAUGCCGCGUGCAGGAAGACGGCUCUAUGAGUUGUAAACUGCUUUUGUACGAGGGUAAACGCAGAUACGCGUAUCUGUCUGAAAGUCUCGUACGAAUAAGGAUCGGCUAACUCCGUGCCAGCAGCCGCGGUAAUACGGAGGAUCCAAGCGUUAUCCGGAUUUAUUGGGUUUAAAGGGUGCGUAGGCGGUCGGAUAAGUUAGAGGUGAAAUCCCGAGGCUCAACUUCGGAAUUGCCGCUGAUACUGUUCGGCUAGAGAGUAGUAGCGGUAGGCGGAAUGUAUGGUGUAGCGGUGAAAUGCUUAGAGAUCAUACAGAACACCGAUUGCGAAGGCAGCUUACCAAGCUACUUCUGACGUUGAGGCACGAAAGCGUGGGGAGCGAACAGGAUUAGAUACCCUUGUAGUC